rnacentral:rRNA from 1 species
AACGCUGGCGGCAGGCCUAACACAUGCAAGUCGAACGAGAAGCCGCCCUUCGGGGCGGUGGAAAGUGGCGCACGGGUGAGUAACGCGUGGGAACCUACCCUGAGGUACGGAAUAACGGCUGGAAACGGCUGCUAAUACCGUAUGUGCCCUACGGGGGAAAGAUUUAUCGCCUUGGGACGGGCCCGCGUCGGAUUAGCUUGUUGGUGGGGUAACGGCCUACCAAGGCUCCGAUCCGUAGCUGGUCUGAGAGGAUGAUCAGCCACACUGGAACUGAGACACGGUCCAGACUCCUACGGGAGGCAGCAGUGGGGAAUAUUGCGCAAUGGGGGAAACCCUGACGCAGCCAUGCCGCGUGAGUGAAGAAGGUCUUCGGAUUGUAAAGCUCUUUCAACGGGGAAGAUGAUGACGGUACCCGUAGAAGAAGCCCCGGCUAACUUCGUGCCAGCAGCCGCGGUAAUACGAAGGGGGCUAGCGUUGUUCGGAAUUACUGGGCGUAAAGGGCGUGUAGGCGGUGCGAUCAGUCAGAGGUGAAAGCCC